CGAGAACGCGCGACCCCGAAGACUUAGUCUCCAAGGCUGCACACAAGUGCACGCGCAACGGCCUUUCCAGCGCGCCCCUGAGGACGGCUUCGGAGUGUACCAGGAACGCUGUCGAGCGUUCUCUCUGGGAGCCUCAAGAUAUAUUUCUAGGCCGGGCGCGGAGGCUCAAGCCUGUAAUCCCAGCACUUUGGGAGGCCGAGGCGGGUGGAUCACGAGGUCAAGAGAUCGAGAUCAUCCUGGUCAACAAGGCACGGGCAAGGAGUGAAACUUGAAAAGCAUUUUGUCCUAAUCAAAGGUAGGAUUGCUGCUGCUGUUUGUGUAUACCCUUUUGGAUCAGGUCCUUAUAAGAAAUUCCUCAUAAAUGUUGCAAUAUAUGAAGCAUGAUAUCAUUGUUCAUAGAAAGGUUAUUAAUCCUGUACCUAAUACCAGGUGCUUUCAACCCAAGUAUACAAAUCCUGCUGAAGUCAGAUGUUUAUUGACUCGUCUAUCACACUCAACAGACUACCCCUUCCUUAAAAGCAUCUACUCUUUUCACUCAUCUUUUUUCUUUUUGAGACAGAGUCUUGCUCUGUUGCCAGGCUGGAGUGCAGUGGUGCAACCUUGGCUUACUGCAACCUCUGCCUCCUGGGUUCAAACGAUUCUCCUGCCUCAGCCUUCCGAGUAGCUGGGACCACAGGCGCAUGCCACCACACCUGGCUAAUUUUUGUAUUUUUAGUAGAGACGGGGUUUCAACAUGUUGGCCAGGAUGGUCUCGAUCUUUUGACCUCGUGAUCCGCCUGCCUCGGCCUCCCAAAGUGCUGGAAUCCCACUGGCUGGUGUGAGCCACUGCGCCUGGCCUCUUUUCACCAAUUUUCAUAUCCCCUACCAUAUAUUUGACUUUACAAAGUUCUUAAAUGGUAUGAAAAUUACAACUUUCUAAGGCUAUAAUUGACAAUUCAACGAGGCCAGGAGUGGUGGCCUACCAAUGUUAUCCCAGCACUUUGGGAAACCAUGGUGGGUGGAUUAUUGGAGUCCAGGUUUGAGACUAGUAUGGGCAAUAUGGCAAAACUUCUCUACAAAAAAAAAAAAAAAAAAAAAAAAAAAACAACCCACAAAAAUUAGCUGGGUGUGAUGCCAUGCACCUGUAGUCCCCUUUACUCUAGAGGGUGAGAUGGAGGGAUCACCUGAGCCUGGCGGGGUGGAGGCUGCAGUGAGCCCUGAUUGCACCACGGCACUUCAACCUGGGUGACAGAGUGAGACCCUGUCUCAAAAACAAAAAACAAGAAAACUUCAAAGUCAGGACA